rnacentral:tRNA from 1 species
GUAAAAAUAGUUUAAAUAAAAUAAUGGUCUGUGGACCCAUUGAUUCAUACACUUAUGAUUUUUACC